ACCAUCUGUAGACCGCCCCACAAAGGCGCAGCGCGGCGGGCCUCGGGUGGCCGGGCCGCGGCCGCCGCUUUUUGUCUAGGGGACAGCAGGCUGCGGCUGGGUAGGGAGGCGAAGCGCACUGCCGUUUUUUAGCAAAAGACAGACCAAAAGAAAAUACACGUCCGUGCUAGGAGGCCAGCUAGGCACAAUGGGGCCACAUCUCUUUGCAGCGUAGAACUCGGGCUCGGGGGCUGAGAACCAGACACAGUUCGGCCUGGGGUUGUGGGCGCCAAGUUUCGGGGUGAAAUCCGACCCUGCGUCUUAAAAUACAGGGCGCGUCCUCGGGCUAUGCGUGCGCGCCCGGGGGCGUCCUCCGCAGACCUGGCCCGGGCCGGUGUCCUUGCCGCGGGAAGGAGGAUUCGGACGCUUAACUCAGCGGCGAAGCCGCUUCCCAUUUGAGGAGGCUUUCCGAAAACGUUUCUGAAACUUUGAAAUUACAGCUUUCUGAUUUGUUAGGGGUGGAAGUUGUGUUUAAAUAGGCGGCGAAGGACUGAGAAGGCAGUCUUAAGUGGAGGUGUCUCCGAGAAAGGGGAGGAGGGUGGGGACGGAAUGGGUCUUCGGAAACUGCACGUGAACCUGCGUCUCAACUUCAAAGUCGCCAGCCCGAAGCAGGGCUUCAGAAAAGCCUCGGCACCCUUUAUUGGGGGAAUCGGCUUUAAGCGAAAGCAUCAUUAGCCCCUCAGUACUGAACAACUUCUGGCAAAGGAACGUGGUGACAUUUCAUUAUGAUGUCUAAACUUAGAACUUCUGGAGAGUUUGGAAGGAUACAUUAUUAGAGAAUCAUCCUUUGGAUUCUUCAAAGCCACAGGAUAAAUUCAAUGUCAGUAAUCAUAUUCUUGAUCCCUAUAACAUUUAUUGGCGUUUCGCGUAGGUCUCUGAUAAAUGUUUGAUGUCUUUGUGUGUCUUCACACUUUGUUAUCCUGAAACUGUGUCAUGUAGACAUAAAUGGUCACAAUUUGUCUUAAAAAGUCUUUAGGAAAAGAUGAUACUAGCACUUGGGCUAGAAGGUCGUGCAGAGAGCAGAGGAAGAAAAAGGCCCACUGCUGUCUACAAAUGAAUAGGAAGAUUUAAGAUCUUUCAAAGCAAGUUGAGUCUAGACCCUUACCCAAGUUUUGUAACAUGAUUUUGUCUCUUUCCCCCCUUUUCAUGCAGAUUAUCCAUGGAGUUAGCAUGCAGAUAGCAUGGAGUUUGUCUGAUAGAAGUUGGCUCUGGUGGAAGUACAGAAAUUGAAUGGUCAGGGAGAGAUAGAAUGCAGGUUUCUUAGGGAGUCUCUAUUAGGUUUCCAGCCUGCCUUCCUGGGAGUGGAAGAGAGAUGAGGUUGUGCCCUUCAAGGAGGAGCUUUACAGAGAUAAAGAAACUAAGCCCUAGAAGAGGAACUCUGCCAGUCUAUUUACAAAGCCUGCACUGAAAGCUAGACCAUAUACUCUUUGGAGAGGGAUGAUGUGACCAGCUCAUAGACUAGGGCCUAUACCAUGUAAUAGGUACUCAAACUUUUUAAAAAUAAAUGAAUCAAUGAAUGAA